rnacentral:lncRNA from 1 species
UCAUAGGACCUCCAGCGGGGUACCGGCCUGAGUGUGGGCCUGAGCAGCCUGGCAGCCGGCUGUGCCAUCAUCUUCGUAGGGGGUGCCAGUGUGCGGGGCAUCGCCUAGCAGCCCCGACUAUUUGUGGGCAUGAUUCUGAUACUCGUCUUUGCCGAGGUGCUCGGCCUCUAUGGUCUCAUCAUGGCCCUAAUCCUCUCCACAAAGUAG